AAUACAAACCCUAUCCGCCUGGGAACUACGAGCAUCAGCUUAAAACCCAAAGGACUUGGCGGUGCUUUCGACGACCCCCCUAGAGGAGCCUGUCCUAGAACCGAUAACCCCCGUUCGAACCUCACCACCCCUUGUUCUUAAGCCGCCUAUAUACCGCCGUCGUCAGCUACCCUGUAAAUNAAACAUAUNCAAAAUUGGUAAAACCCAAUACGUCAGNUUCGAGGUGUAUCGUAUGGAGUGGGAUGAGAUUGUGCUACAUUCUCUAUUUCAGUGUACACGACGAUGUGUUGAAAUACACAUCCAAAGGGGGAUUUAGAGNAAGUAUAAAAA
rnacentral:rRNA from 1 species